GUCCCUUCGAGGACAUUUGAAAAAAUUACAGCGAUACAGGAAAGAUUAGUAUGAUCCUUGUGCAAGAAUGACAAGCACAAGUCGAGAAUCUUUAGAGCCUAACUUU